rnacentral:rRNA from 1 species
GACGUAGGGCGCGAGCGUUGUCCGGAUUUAUUGGGCGUAAAGAGCUCGUAGGCGGCUUGUCGCGUCGUUCGUGAAAACCUGCAGCUCAACUGCAGGCUUGCGGUCGAUACGGGCAGGCUAGAGUUCGGUAGGGGAGACUGGAAUUCCUGGUGUAGCGGUGAAAUGCGCAGAUAUCAGGAGGAACACCGGUGGCGAAGGCGGCCCCCUGGCCGGCCCUGACACUGAGACGCGAAGGCGUGGGGAGCGAACGGGG